GGAUAGGGGGAGCGGGAUAGACCUCUCACGCCGGUAACGCGGGUUCGAAUCCCGCUGGGAUCACCA
rnacentral:tRNA from 1 species